rnacentral:lncRNA from 1 species
GAGUGUUGGUAAGGAGGUUUUUGUUUUCUUUUGUUUGUUCUUGUCUUUUUUGUUUUGUUUAUUAGGUACCAUGGCUGCGUAUAAUUUCAAGGCCACGUGUGAUCGCAUCCAUGACGAUCUUGAAGAUAUGCAACAACACAUUGAAAUUAUACGUCAAUUAUUACCCAAACUCUUUCCUCAAAAUCCAAUUGGCCAAACAACUGCGAUAAGAGCUUUCUGAAAGAAGUUGCUGCCCAAUCUUGUAAAGACGAACAUACUCAUGAACGUCAAGGUAAAAUAGCUAACCCUUACACUUUUGUGCAUGUGAAUGAUAAUUGUGUGGCUAGUAGCCCAUUGAGUGUGAGUUGUAGCUUGCCUAUAUGUGAUUCUAUUGUUUCUUUGACACUUGAUGAUGAUAUACUUGUUGUGAGUGUGGAUACACUAGUUGAUCCUAUUGAUGACCGAAUUGACUCUUCUUGUAAGAUCGAUUUAUGUCCACCUAGUGUUGAAAUCAUUGUGUUGAAUGAAAGUAUAUCGUCUUGUGAAAUUUAUGUUGAUCAACUUUUGUAUGAAAAUUGUCCACCACUUGAGGAUGUGUGUGAUGUGAUUAAUGAAUCUCAAGUGUUUGAUGAUGUUGAAAAUAUUAAUCAAAGGAAUAGGAGUAAACCCGAGAGCUAUUCUUGGGAUAAUCUUGCAUUUGAAAUCUCUUUGAAACUUGAUAUUGAUCUUUUAGAGAGUGAUGAACGUGUUUGUUCCGAAUAUGCCCGUGAUAUAGAUCAUGCUCUCUUAAGGUAUAAUGUCUUGUUUGAAGAUGAUAUAACCACUCCUAAUGAACCUAGUGGUGCAAAUGAUGGUAUAGCUUGCCUUAGAAGCUAUAGUCGAUAUGCUAAUCCACUAUGGUGUGAAAACAUUCCUCCUAAAGAUGAAAAUCUCUUCUUGAAAGAUGAGAGUACUCUUAAGGGUAAGGGAUGUGUGGAUUUGAAAACUACUUCUCCUUCUACUUUGUGUGACUUUAUUGUUGAGAGUACUCAUGGUGAUGAUUGUGAAACUAGUAGUGAGUACACACAUGAGGGCACCUUAGUAGAAGUCGACUUGAGUGAUACCUUUCUCUACUUUCAAUUUGCUCUGGAUAAUAUGUAUGUUAUUGUAGAGAGUAUGCCGUUUAUUUUGGGUGGAGACCACGGGAAAGGGGAGUGUUGUCUAGACCUGUAUCUAUGGCCACUCUUCCUGUUUGACCCCGGUGCCAAAUAUAGAAUUGGUGAUGAUGGUGCACCCAACUUGUUGCUUGGUUUACAUGACAAGCAAAGUAUUAUUUUUGGUGAAUUCUAUAGCCAAAUCCUUUGUGCAUUUUUCAUUAAUUAUGUAAUAUUUAGUUCAAAGAUCCUUGGUUAUAUUCUAAAUAUGUGAAACCUUGGCAUGUUGAGGUGAUUUGUCGUGUUUACCCUAACCCUCAUGCCAUGAGGAGUUUGUAUUUGUGUGUCCUUUCUUUGGUUUUGCAAGGUUUGGAUUCGAGGUCGAAUCAUUUUCAAGAAGGGGAGGAUGAUAUGAUUCAAUUGGCCUCCUUAGCUUUCAAUGACAUCAUUCGAAGUCAGUACGUGGGGUAUCAAACUUUGGUCACAUUAAGGAAACGGGAUCCUACAUGGAGGGGCCGAUUUGACUACACCAAGAGCAAUCCCACAUGUGAAAGAUUGCUUGGAGUAUUGAAGAUUAAGGACUCACGGUUUUGGGCCUUCAUUAAGGACAUUUUGGUUACUUAGCCUUGUCCAAGUGACACUCCAUGACCACCCCUUUUCAUUAAGGGUAUUGUGGUCAUUUUGUUAUGUAAUAAGUUAGACUAUAAAUAGGUUCUAUUAGUUCAUUUGCUAGUUAGUUUAUGAAAGAUGAAAGAUUGAAACACUUGAAAUCCUCUCUCUUGAGUGUAGACCACCUUAGUAUAGUCUUAGUUAGGACUUGGAAAAGGCAUCCUUAGUAUAGGGCUUGAAAAAGCCAAUAUUGUUCUCUGCUUGGAAACAGUGGAUCUUAAGGUGAGUCGAUUACCUUGGCGGUGACUGUAAGAGUGUGGUUUUGAUUAUUACAUUCAUUAGGGGUUAAUGUUGAAAUAUACUUGGUUUUUAAUCUUGUAAUAAUCUUGGUCUCACUAUCUAUCCUUUCAUUAUUUUGCAAAUUCAUGUGUUUUUGUGUUUGUCAUCUUGUUUCCUUUUGUGUUGCUUGUUUUUCUCACAUUUGUGGAUUGUUUGGGCAUCUUGGUGGACUGAUUUGUAUCAAAUCCAUUCUUUCUUUCAUUUAUAGAAUAUGCCUCCUCGCAGAGAUAAUGCCCAUAGAAAUGAUAACCAGCUACCUCAGCCCGUAGAUUCUUCGAAUGAGAAUGUGUCAUAUGCAGAAUUGCGGGCAGCCUUUCAGGCGCUAGCCCAAGCUAUGACAACUAGUUUUCAGGGUAACCGUCCGGCUGCAGCCUAACCUUAGCAAGAUGGCGGUUCAAUCGCAUCCAAAAUCAGAGAUUUCAUGAAUAUAAACCCGUCAGAAUUCUUUGGGUCAGUAGCAGGUGAGGACCCAUAACUUUAUCUUGGGAAGGUGAAGAAGAUCACCCAGAUUAUGCAUGUGUCUGAGGAGGAGAGUGUAGAAUUAGCAUCCUAUAGGUUGAAGGAUGUUGCUCAUGAUUGGGUAGUGAUAUGGAAGAAGCGUAGAGGGAAGGAUGCAACUCCCAUGACUUGGCAGGUAUUUCAGGAUGCAUUUUUAGAUACGUUUUUCCCACUCGAGAUCAGAGAAGUUAAGGUAGAAGAGUUCAUGAACCUAAGGCAAGGAUCCAUGACAGUGAAGGAGUAUUGCCUUAAGUUCAACCUGUUAGCUAAGUAUGCUCCUGAUUUGAUGGCUGACCCUAGAUCUAGCAUGAGUAAGUUUGUGAAUGGUGUGUCCGGGUUGGUAUUGAAGGAGUGUAGGACUGCUAUGCUCAAUAGAGAUAUGGAUCUUGCUAGGCUAAUGAUGCACGCUCAACAGAUUGAGGCCGAUAAGAUGAAGGAAAAAGAGACAGUGAAUAAGAAAGCCAAAAUAGGUAGUUAUAGAUUCUCUUAGGUAGGGUCACAGGGUGGUAACCGUUUUCAGCAUAGUCAGAAGUUUUUAGUCCCAGCUCUAUCCUCCGCUAGUGUACCAACACCAAACUUCAGGGAUGUCAGUUAUGAUGGGGCGCUACGCUCCAAAGCCCAGAUUAUCAUGAGAAGUGAGCGUACCUAUCCACUUUGUAAAGAAUGUGAAAAAAAUCACCUAGGUAUAUGUAGAGCAGGCAGCGAGGUAUGUUUUGGAUGUGGUAAGUUAGGCCAUAGGAUACGGGAGUGUAGAGUGCUAGAACAGAGGGGAUAAGAUUUGCGUCAGCAGGGCACCAAUAGUGGUCAGCGUCAGAAUAGAUUUUAUGCACUCCAAACCCAUCAUGAUUCAAAAAGUUUCCUUAAUAUAUAUUCGGGUAUGUUAUAAGUCCUUCAUCUUCAUUAUAUGCUUUGUUAGAUCUCUUACUCCUAUUUAAGCUUAAGUUUUCAGCAUGAGUUAGUCAGUAAGGCCAAUAAUUCAGUUUAGCAGUCAGACAGUUAAAUUCAUAUAGUUUGUUUUUCCUAUCUUUCCAUCUAGAUAUAUUAUCAGAAUGUCUAAGGAGUGUAGCUAUUCCAAGAUAGAGCAUCCAAGUAGUUGCGAGUUCAUCUUAGUUCAUGAGUCGUACAUUAGUUUCAGAUCCCAGAUGUUUAGUCAUGAUCCAGCUCGUAGGUGCCUUGUGCAUCGCCACAGUUUUCCUCAAGGGUCUCAAUAAAGUAAGCCUUCUUAGAGGGACAUAGUGUCCCAAGGGGGAGAUACCCUAUGGUUUCAUGACCUUAAACCCAUUCGGUUUCAUGCUUAGAUUUUCCUUACAAACUUAAUAUCAGUUAUCAUUGCAUACUCAAUCAUGCAUUCAAGAGUCAGUUCAGUCAAAUAUUCGUGCAUUAGAUAUGCAUGUUCAAUAGAAGAAGCUCAAGCUUAUCAAUAAUUUCAGUCAUGCUUUCAUGAGAAUCAACUCAGUCAGAUAUCUAUGCAUUAGAUAUGCAUGUUCAGUAUGAGAUUUCAGAAUAUCAGUAGUUCCAGUCUUAUAGUUAUGUUUCAGAUGUUCACGUCCCUUAUGUAAGUUCAGUCUAUCAGUAAUAUCAGCCUAGUCAGUCCCAUUCGAGGACGAAUGUUUCCAAGGGAGAAAUAUUGUAAGACCCCGUAAAUUCUCCUAGUCGUUAAAACUCUUUAAAGUAUGUCAAGGGAAGCUUCACACUUAAAAAAUUUGGCUAAGUUUUGGAACUUUUUCAUUUCAUAAGACUUCAAACUUUGAUGAUUUAUUUCAUGACCUUCCCGACCUUCGAUAGUUGAUAUUUUAGCUAAUUCUUGAUCCAGAAUAUCAAUAGGGGUUCCCGAACAAGUUUUGAAUUUUUUGAACCUCGUUUAGACCACAUUUGGGGUCUCAAAAUAGUAGAUCAACGUGAUCAUGGCCCGCCACCAUCGCCUAUCACAUUGGUUAACAAUGUUGUAGGCUGCCAGAAUAAAAAAUAUUGAGGCCCGAUGCGAUCAUGACGCAAUGCAUUGGCUAUCGCAUCGACCAACGCGUCGGCACCCAGUUUUCCAGUCAUUAAUAUAGCCGCUACCCCAGGGUUAUUUCAGUUUUUUCCCCACUCUUAUAUAACCCUAAAACACAUGAUUCAGCCAUAUUUCACCUGAACUGUAGUGGUUUCUCUCAAUUUCUCUCAAGAAGAAGUUUAGGGUUUCCAAUUGACAAUCCAAAUUCAAGAAAAUUCCACCGUCAAUCUUUGUAAAAUCAAUAACUAAGGUAUGUUAGAUGUUGAUUCUUGGGUUCCUUCCACCCAAGAAGUUCAAGAAUCCUGUUCUAAAAUUCAAAGAUUAUAUAUUUAUGAGUUUUCAUGAUUCAUGUGAAUUGAAAUUGAAGUUCAUGUUGUUAUUGAGUUUUUAAUUCAUGUUUUGUUUACAAAGUUCCAAGCUUUGAUCCUAGCAUGUGAUAUUUAUGUGAUGUUCAUGAUAAACCCUUUCAAGUUGCAUGUUGAUUGAUGUAUCCAUGAUAAUUAGGUGUAGAAAUUGUUGUAUAACCAAAGCAUGCUCCCCAUAUGUUUGAUAAAAUGCUUAUGUGAAGGAAAUAGAAUCAUUAUAGCAUGUUGACAAGAAAUCCCCAAUUGUGUAUAAGUUAAUGCAUGCCAAGUGUUUGUUGAAAAACCUUAGUGAAUGAAUUAUGAUAUGUUGCAUGCAUUCCUACUCAUGUGCAUUCCUUAUUGAAUGAAUUAUUAGAUAAUAGUAUGCACUCCCUAUACAUUUACAUGUUUAAGACUUCCAAUUGCUUGAAGAGAUGCCUCAUUGAUUGUGUUGUGAAUGAUAGCCUAUUGCCAUUUUAUGUACGAGUUGUCCUGUCUUGUAUUAUUUAUGUUAUCGAGUCCUGGGGGUAUUUAUACCCGACAAAUUAGAGCUUGUCUAGAGCCAGUGUCAUUUUCAUAAUAAUCUCAGUCAUGCCAUGAUUAGUAGUACUCUCAGUCAGUUGCAAAACUUAGUAGAACUCAGACAGUUACAGAACUUAUAAAAUUUCAGUAAUCUUAGUAUCAGUAGCAUUCCAGCUUCAGUUCAGUAAUAGAUUCAGAACUCAAUAAUAUUCCAUCAGUCAACGGAACUCAGUGAAUUUAGUUUAGCUCAGUCAAACAAGUACGAUCAGUAACAUUUCAGUCAAGCCUAGUAUGAAUUAGUAAUUAGUUCAGUGUCUUUCAGUUGGGAGUAGGAUUUAGCACCGAGCGAACCUAGGGAUGGGGGCUCACCCGCUAGAUACGACUAAGAUUCUUAGAAGCAAUACCUAUGUUCUAGAACUACGUAGCCAGCGUAGGUAUGAGAUGUCACCCAUUAGAUAGGAUUGACAUACUCCGGGGUCACCCGCUAGUACAUGAUUGGUCUAAGGGGUCACCCGCUAGAUUAAGAAUGACCCCAUAACAGUUGUCUUUAUCUGUGGCAUGGUGCUGACACCCUUCCAGCUGGGGUUACAGGUUGGACCCCACUAGUUCAGAUUCGGGGCAUGUCUCUUAGAUAACUACCUCCCAUAGUCCCAUCUUUAGAAUCAGUCUCAGUAAAAGAACUCAGCUCAGUAGCAUAGAUUCAGGACUGUUAGAUACAGUCACCCAUUGGUAUUAUCAAUAGAUUUAGAGAUCACCCGCUAAAUAGGACUGAUCUCAGAUUUAGUCAAGCAAUAUCAAUAUCAGUACCAACAGAUUCAGAGAUCACCCGUUAGAUAGGACUGAUCUCAAAUACAGUCAAUCAGUAUGAAGUACCAUUAGAUUCAGAGAUCACCCGCUAGAUAGGACUGAUCUCAGAUUUAGUUAAUCAUCUUCAUUAUUAGUAUAUUUAGAGAUUACCCGCUAGAAACGACUGAUCUCAGCCUCAGUCAAUCAGAUAUCAGUAGACUCAGUUAUCAGAAUUCCAGUUAUUAGAAUUUGGUAUUCAGUGUUCCUAUGAUUUCAAUUAUAGUUGUGCAUUCAUGUAUGUAUCCUCAUUCAAUAUACUCAGAUGAUUUUGUCUGUAUUGGUCAUGCAUAUGAACCCUUACAUUUAGCCUUACCUAAUCUAGCAUACCAGUACAUUCUACCUACUGAAGCAUACUUUUCUGCGCUAUGGUGUUUGAUACCAUAGGUUCAGAAGUACGAGAUCCAGAGCACCCUUAGCAGUUCAGAUUCAGUCAGCAGCAGUAGACAUAGCAGUGAGUCCUUAUCAUUCGAGGAUAAUCUUUAUUUUACUAUUGCACUAGAUUCAGUAUUUUAGUAGACGGAGUUAGUUGGGGACUUGUCCCAUCAACUCCACAGUUCAGACAGUUUAGAGGAUUUUCAGACGGAUGAAUUAGUAUGUAGUUUUCAAUUGCAUUUCAGAUAUUUGAACCUCAUGGCAAUGUUUCUGCCAGUUUUCUGCAUUUUUAUAGUGUAUUAUGCAGUGCUCAGU